UAUAAAUAUGUAUCCCCAACCCCUCAGGUUGGCAUGGCAUUGUGUGAGAAAUAAACCAACGAAAAUUGUCCCAACUCUCCUAGUGUCAUCCACAACUAUCAAUGCUCAGGCUGAAAGGUCUAACAAGUGGUAUCAGAGCCUCGUUAUCUUGUACCUGAGCAUUUCCUGCUCACCUCUCUCACCGGGAGCUGAGCAGCCUAAGCCGGUAGCAGCAGCUG
rnacentral:lncRNA from 1 species